CAUCAUUCUUGGACUGAAGAAUACUAUGCAAAUCAUGCUUUUGGAUCUACUGUGAAGUUUUUGUAUAAAGCUGAGGUUUUGGGAUUGAAAAUUUGCCACAUGAUUUCCCGUAAAAAAGAAAGUCAGUUAUACAGGCUGGAAAAGACAUGG